CACAAUCCACUGCCUUGAUCCACUUGGCUACAUCCGCCCC
rnacentral:tRNA from 1 species